ensembl:lncRNA novel transcript
ACAGAAAAGGAUGUCUAGUGCUCAUCACUUUGCAGGGGGUAAGACUUCCCUGUAUGCCUUCACCAAAGGAAAGCUGCCCCAUGGAGAGGUCCAAGCUGCAAGAAACUGAUACCUUCACCUAACAGCCGGUGAGGACCUGAGGUCUGUCAACAGCCACCUGCGUGAUCUCGGAGGCAGAUCCUCUUCUAGCUGAGCCUGGGGAUGACUGCAGUCCUGGCCAACGCCCUCAUGACAGCCUUGUGUGAGAGACCCCGGGCCAAAGGGAUGCAGAUAAGCCACACUUGGAUUCCUGACUCACCGUGAGACAACGUUUUGUUGUUUUAAGCCACUAA